rnacentral:rRNA from 1 species
AGAGUUUGAUCCUGGCUCAGGACGAACGCUGGCGGCGCGCUUCAUACAUGCAAGUCGAGCGAUCGACUCCGGGUCUUCGGACCUGGAGCACGGAGCGGCGAACGGGUGAGUAACACGUGGGUAAUCAACCCUCGGUACUGGGAUAGCCCGGGGAAACCCGGAUUAAUACCGGAUAGCCUCCGGAGCCUGCGGGCGCCGGAGAAAAGGUAGCUUCGGCCUCCGACCGAGGACGAGCCCGCGGCCGAUUAGCUUGUUGGUGAGGUAACGGCUCACCAAGGCGACGAUCGGUAGCUGGUGUGAGAGCAUGACCAGCCACACUGGGACUGAGACACGGCCCAGACUCCUACGGGAGGCAGCAGUAGGGAAUCUUGCGCUAAUGCGGGCAACCGUGACGCAGCGACGCCGCGUGCGGGAAGAAGGCCUUCGGGUUGUAAACCGCUUUCAGGUGGGACGAAGCUACUCGGGUUAAUAGCCCAGAGGGUGACGGUACCUCCAGAAGAAGCCCCGGCUAACUACGUGCCAGCAGCCGCGGUAAUACGUAGGGGGCAAGCGUUGUCCGGAUUUAUUGGGCGUAAAGCGCGUGUAGGCGGCCAGGUAGGUCCGCUGUGAAAACCCGAGGCUCAACCUCGGGACGUCGGCGGAAACCAUCUGGCUAGAGUCCGGAAGAGGAGAGUGGAAUUCCCGGUGUAGCGGUGAAAUGCGCAGAUAUCGGGAAGAACACCCGUGGCGAAGGCGGCUCUCUGGGACGGUACUGACGCUGAGACGCGAAAGCGUGGGGAGCGAACAGGAUUAGAUACCCUAGUAGUCC